AGCUGUACCUGUGGCACAUGGAGAUUCCUAGGCUAGGGGAUGAAUCAGAGGUGUAGGUGCCAGCCUACACCACAGCUCACAGCAACACUGGAUCCUUAACCCACUGAGUGAGGCCAGGGAUCGAACCCACAUCCUCAUAGAUACUAGUUGAGUUCAUUAACUGCUGAGCUAUGACAGGAACUCCAAUAAAUUUUUUAAAAAUGGGGAAAAAAAAGAUGCAAAGCAAUCCGUUGCCUGAAUCUGAUUAUACUGGUACUCAAUAAAUGCUUAUUGAAUAAUAAUUUAAAAAAAGCAGAAGUAACAGGACUAGAAAUAGGGACACGAGUAUUUUUUCUGGCUGGGAGCUCAUGUUAACUGAACCUUGGUCCCAUUCACUUUUUAAGCAACAGAUGUGUUCUCCUAUUUGGACACGGCCCAUCUUGCUUUUAUUUGUAAUUGGCAGACACACACAUUCACACACAAAUACGUAUCCGUGUUCUUAUAUCUUCAUUCCCGAGGUCUCUAACCUGCAAAGUCUGGCUUAAAUAAAAAAGAUGAAUAUUACCAAUCGGAUGUCGGCGCUCAAGCCCUGAUCCCUAAAGAGCAAAGCGUUCAAAUGCCUGGAACUCGAAGAGGCUGAUUCUCUGAGGCUCUCGCCCUGAACUGGGUGGUGGGAGCGGUGUCCCCUCCCCACGGCCCCCGACAGCCGGGCAGCAGAAGGGGACGUGGGGAGUCCCAGGAGAAGGAGGGCGGGAGCUUCCUUUGGUGCCCACGGGCUUCACCACGUUUCCUCUGCACAAACGGCGUUGAGCUGGACACCCGGGGCCAGCAGGCAGCCCCGCGUUCCUGCUGCCAACCAUCUCUAGACACAGCCUGGGCUCCUGACAAGACGGGGUUUGUCCAAAGGGCAGAAAUCCAACCACCUGGCUUGGACUUCAGAGGCCACUGUUGGGAAAAGGCAGAUCACUUCUAAAGUCAGAGCUCAAGGAAAACGCCAAGUCUCAAUCUGGCCCCCAUUCAUGCGAUUACCUCCAGCCCAAUGCGCCUUAGCCCUGCACUCUGGUCCUUUCCCCACCAUUCUCUCUGUCUGUUGUUGGGGUGUUUGCUCUGUUCUGCUUUUUUUAAUUUCUUUUUUUUUGGCCCCAACACGAAGAUCGGCCAGGCUCAAAGCUGAGACACCUUGUGGUUUUAGGGACAGCAAAAAACUCUGUCCCCGUGGGAAGGGAAGCUUCAGGGGCCUCGGACACGAGGCUGCCGUGAUGAACAGACACACUUCUCACAACUCCCACCCAACAGACAUGCGAGUCGCAACACUGACAGCGACUCCUCCCGGCAGCCAGGACCCAUCGGCCCUGGGAGCGCAGGGCCCGCGAGUGUGUGUGUGUGUGUGUGUGUGUGUGUGUGUGUGCGCGCGUGUGUGCGUGUGGUAUGAACCUCCCUGCCCCUCUGCCUCCCCCUCUCCCCCGGGGAAGCAGAGUCUCCACCUGAGGCGGAGGGUGAGAGCUGGGAGGCUUGUGGGUGGACAAGGCACCACGGCGAUAAAAACCAGGGAAGCCUCAAGUGCAUGUGUUCCCACAACUUCUCAAGCUGCAGAUGGUAAGGGUAGAAUCCCGGCCAUGUGAAUACACUUUAUCUAAAGUCAGCAGGAUGCUGGGGACGGGGGACACCCCUGUCCCCUCCACACUCUGCCCCCCUGGCAUGUGACAUGCAGCUUCCCCCGCACCCCCAGCCCCACCCCAAAUCCUCUCUUAGGUGUUAAUUUUCUACUGUGGAAGCCAGGCUUUUAUCAAGGCAGGUUUGAAAUUUUCUCCUCUCCAGCCCAUCACAGGCCCGAGUGUCUUCCGCCCACUGAACUGCCUUGGGCCAAACAGAGGGAAAGUCCCCCGUUGCCCAGCAACGGAAGCUUCUGACAGCACGUGUCCUUGGCGGAGCUCCCUCCCCUCUGGACUGUCAGACAUCCUCCAGUCCUCCACGUCCACACUCUAGGCAUGAGACGUUCCAUCAUCUUGAAAGGAAAAGUGGAUGGUGCCGCCUCCUGGCAACGAGAUGGCCCUGACCGCGCAUUUUCCCAGAGAAACCAGACUCUAACACCGAGGCUGGCAGCUAAGACAGGAGCAGGUGGGGUAGAUGGCUUNNNNNNNNNNNNNNNNNNNNNNNNNNNNNNNNNNNNNNNNAGGGCCCCCGCUUCCUGCUAACACACGUGUUAGAAACAGAGGUCAAAACCAUUUAGUUCAAGGUGGUCUGUGUGCAGCCGGUGCAUAAACAUGGACAGAAUGCCAGAUGAGGCACGCGGCGAAAGAUGAGUUUCCUGACCCGACAGUUUUCCUCUGAUGCUCAGCAAAUUUGCCGCCACACCAAGCAGUGCUUGCUUGGACCGUCCCGUGAGGGUAGCCAGAGAAUUAAUUAAAUAUUGCAACAUCAUUGCAAGAUGGGGCUUUCGCAUAGGUGUUCAUGACAAUCUAUUGCAUGAAGCCAUUUAUGAAACUGCAGAAGCCGUGGGUACCAUCCAGUCCUAAACCCCUCCUGCAGGCUCCGGGCCAUCAGCUAAGCACCAGCUGGGUAAUUCUGUGGUGUUAUUCUGAGUCCACAGACCCCAAGAAUUUAGGGGCUUUAAGGUGUUUAAAUGGAGGCCCUAAAACGCACAUGACUCACUGGUUGCCAGGGAGUCCCUCAAGGGCAAAGCUGGUGACUGACCUUGGUCACCUGGCUGUGACACCCACAUUCUGGCAAGUCCCCCCCCCCACUCGACACCCUCUCUCCCAGAGGUGGGCCACGAUGGACUGGCCUCUGCUUCGGAAGGGAGAAAUGUGGCUCCAUUCAGUUCAGGUGGAUUUUUAAGACCUAAGGGAUAUGCCUGCCAAGCAAGGUCACCUAUCAGCCUGGAAAUUGCCUGUCUUGAAAAGGGACAUGUUUUAAAACAGGCAAUUGAAGAUGCAAUCUAAGACGAGGACUUGUCUCCACCCUUGGGUUUGUACUCCAGGAAGAACGAAUCCGCCCUCAGCCCCUCCCAAAUGGGUGCCACAUCCCCCCAGAGCAGAGCCAAGGCCCCUGUCCAGAGAACUCUGCUUCUUUGUCCCCGGGAGCCACCCCCUCCAAUCCCGGCACACAGAUCUGAGCCCUUUCAUCUCAGAAAGAAGAGCCCCAGGUGUGUGUCCUGGUUGAAAGUAUUCUGAAUUCUGAGGAUAAAGGGAUUAGGAGAGGCUCCAAGUCACCACAGGAGAUAAACCACCCCCGGCCCUUGAGCGCCAGGUGGCUUCUUGUUUCUGUUUUCUGGGUUCUGCCCCAACCAUUUCCCUGGAGAGAAGGUGUGCUUUGCCUUCUCCUCAACUUGGCUGAUGCCCAGGCAUCCAGGAGGAGGCCUCUGCAGCAGGAGCUUUUCAGACGGGACAGAGCCAAGUCAGACACCCAAGCCACGGGGCUCCUGGGCGCUGUGAGUGGUGGGGGUGACGUGUUCUCACUGUCUUAUUUAUUGACUUACUUUGUUUCUGUCCCUUUAAAGCCGCACCUGCAGCAUAUGGAGGCUCCCGGGAUAAGGGUCAAAUUGGAGCUGCAGGGGCCAGCCUGCACCACAGCCACAGCAACGCCAGAUCCGAGCUGCGACUGCCACCUACACCAGCUCCUCGUGGCGACACCGGAUCCUUAACCCACUGAGCGACGCCAGGGAUCAAACCCGCAUCCUCGGGUUCAUUACCACUGAGCCACCACGGGAACUCCCGGUUUUAAAAAUAACUGCGAAGUGGUGAGACUUGCCUUCUGAAUGUAACUCCUUCGGUGACAACAGGCUGCAAAAAGGCUAAAAGCUUACCUGCUUGCCAUUCAGGGGGUUCUGACCGGACGGAGCAAUGACACAAAACACAGCGUUAAUUCUCAGUCCCAUCCGACACCACACCACAGGGGCGGUCGGGCCAGCGUGAUGCACUCGCACGUUCAGGUCUUUUGCAUGUAAUUUCCUUGUGUUUUCUUUGGUCACCCAAGUCACCCGUUCCCCCGGGACUGGGAGGCUAAGGCAGCCACAGCUUCGGCAGGAAGGGAGGGGACGGUCCCAGCUACCAAGAACUUCCCGACUCCAGGUGCCCAGCCCGGCCACCUCGCCCCCUGGGUCCCGGAGCCGCCCGAAGGACUGAGUCCGGCUGUCCCCCACCUCUGUUCAGUUCUGCCCUGUGUGCAAGGCCCACGGCGCCUUUACACAGUGACAUGCUGCACUUGAACCUCGGCCAUUCUUCUGGAUCAGACCUACAGUGAAUCACAGGUCCUCCUCUUAGACUGCAUCUUGGCUGGAUCUAAAACGUCUCCCUUUCAAGACAUGGAAUUUCAAGGCUAGCAGGUGGCUUUGCUGGGAAAACACACUCCUUGGAGCUCAGGAAUCCGUCUGAAAUGAAUGAAGGGGCUGGGACGAGAACUGCCAUUAAAAUCCUAAACUGAGCUGGAAUGUGUGGUUCUGGCCCAGUUUGGGGACCGGUGCAGACCCAGAACCAUUCUCUCCCUGCCCCAUUCAGGCAGACAGUGAGCCAGAAAUGCCUCCGUGCCCGCCUGGCAUCUGCUGUAUGGUGCCCGCAAAAUAAAACAAAACCCACUCGGCCUCACCUGAGAAAGAAACCACUGCUGUUGGACAGAGGAAGUCACAGGAGGUUUUACUGAGACUCUUGCGGGUGUUAGUCCCCUUCAUUUGUUUGUUUAUAUCCUUCUUGCUCCAAAAAAGGGGGCAAAAAGCCAGGUGAGGAGUGUUAAAUCUCUCUCCUGUGGCAGCACCUGUGUGCGGGGACGAGGGACAGGAGCCCUGUCCACACGAGGCCAACAUGCUAGAAGGGGACAGAGUGGAGAAAGAUGACCGCUCUGAAGAGCAGUGAGCGUUUCCCAUGACAAUCUAAAGAAAUUGAAACAAGUUGGCAAAACGUCACCUGGGAUUGGGAGUCAGAGGACGGGGAGGCUGGCAGCACUGGGUGUGUGUGUGGGGGGGGACAUUUCCCGAAACUAAUGAUGGAAGGAGGAAGAAUUAAAGAUCUGGAAAUAGGUCGUGUGCCCAGGGUGAGUAAAACCCUGAUUGCAAAGCGCCCUGGGCAGUUCUCACACCAGAGCCGGCUUCAAGGUCCGAGGCCAGAGGCUCAGAGGGGGCUUAGAUCUCGGGCUUCACUGCAGCCACUGUCUUGAAAUGGGUAAGAGUUUUAUCUCUAAAUUCGUGUCUGGCAGGUACAGUCUGAUGGGACAGCUCUGCAUUCUGCCAGGGGCUUGGGACUCACACCUUCUGGCACCUUCCGGGAUGGUUCUGGAAGGCCCAUUUCCCGGCCUGAUACUCUUGCUCCACCUGCCAAGUUGAAGGGCCGGUCCCGGGCAUCUCGGAGGGUCUGCACUGCCCGAGAAUAUUCCUGAACCCCAGGGAGCACGGCAUCCAAUGGGGAGUAUAAAAUGCUAUGGCCGGGCCGAGGGAGACCACGGAGGAGAGGACAAAGCUUUCUUCCUGCUUUUUGAACAAGCAGCCUAGCACCUUCCAAAGCUGGCCGUGGUCUCGCUAAGUGCCGCCCGGAUGCCAUGGAGAGGGCAGCGCGAGGUUUUCUUUCUGCGAACGGCCUGGUCUCCCCCCAUAUCCACGCUCAUUCACCCAGGCACCAGCCACACAGGGAGGAGUGCAGGUGCCAGGCCACCGCAGGGACCCGAAUCAGAACAUUCACGCCCUCCAGGAGCCCCCACGCCCCCACACGGCGCAGUCAGCGAGGGAGCCAAAGGGACGGUUCUCUGUCCUUCUGUGAGGGUCAAGCCUGAGUUUCAUGUCCCAAAUCACGGGGAAAGUAGAAAACAGGGUUUUUAUACAUCCGCCUGUUCUAUCACUGACCAGACGGACCUAGAGCCUCAGACCCGUCUCUGAAUUUGACUUUUUAUGCCUCGAGAUUAUACUGAACUCUCUCUCAACCACGCCCUUGAAGAAGACCCUUCCCUGUGGAAGGGUUUAAGAAUCUUGCAGAGCACUGCCAGGUCUGCUGAGGUGCCACUGAUACGGUUCUCGGUCUCUCCCAGAAUCCGGUGUAGGAAUUUCAGCAAACCGUUCCCUUGAUGACCUGUUCAUCCUCAGUCAGGGACACGCGGUUCCAUGAUGGGGUCACUUCAACUUCUUCCCACUUUCCCCAGGGACACUGUGAUAUCAACCACAGACACACUGUUAUGAAAUAUGUUAGAACCCAGCUAAAAUAAAAGUUCAUUCUUUUUUUUAACCCCUAAAAUGAAUUUCAGAAAGGGGUUACCAAGGUCUGGUGAAAAAUGAAGACUCCUAUUUGUACCAUUAUUAUAAAUGCCCAAACUGAUUUUCAGACCAGGUACCUGGGUUUCUGAUAUGAUAUUUGGAUUUCUGUGAUACAUGGAUCUCUGGUGUGGUACCUGGAUGUCUGUCUAGAGCAGUACCUGGAUGUCUAGAGAGAUAUCUGGAUGUCUGAAGUGGUGCCUGGAUGUCUGGGGUGGUACCUGGAUGUCUGGGGUGGUACCUGGAUGUCUGGGGUUGUACCUGGAUGUCUGGAGUUGUGUCUGGAUGUCUGGGGUUGUACCUGGAUGUCUGGGGUGGUACCUGGGUGUCUGGGGUGGUACCUGGAUGUCCGGGGUGGUACCGGAUGUCCAGGGUGGUAUCUGAAUGUCCGGG
rnacentral:lncRNA from 1 species